GCCAAAAUCCACAUCAUCUCUGUGCUCAUUGAAUCACUUGCACGGAGAAAUAUUCUGCAGUUUGAUGACUCUCAACUAUCAGCAUCAGCUGAUUCAGCUUCACUCCUGGGAUCCUCAAGAAAUGCCUUUACAUUGUCACAUAUGUUGCCAGGUUAUGUUGGCAGAGUGUCCGUCAGAGAGACAGAGAGCCAGGGGAAGCAAAGCCUUUCUCCCUCCUGAGUUUGAAAGAAAGCAAGUUGCUGCACAGUUACAUGUGAAUGACAUGUUUAAAAAUAAUGCCUAAGACUGAAUGACAAAGCUUUUGUGGAAGGUGCUAUAUGGAGGACGCCGCUGGGUGACUUUGUUUAA